rnacentral:rRNA from 1 species
AACAGUGACUAAGCCCAAAAGGUUAAGAGAGUUAAACGUGUUAGGACGGGAGUAGUCCUAAGAUGGGUGACCCCCUGAGAAGUUGGGCGUCACAGUUU